AGUUAGUCAAAGGCAAUACGAUAAUGGAGUGAAAGUUGCAGGAGGUGAUUGCAAUGCUGGAAAUGCUAUGGAUGGCAUUGCUUAUUUAUUUAGUAGACACAGUUUAGAAUGGGAAUAAAGAUUGGUCUGUCACCAUCACAUCAGCCAUCAGUUCAGCACUGCUCUAGGCAAUGAGUAUGCCGUUACUAAUUUUAGUCUGUGUUGCUGUCAUUCAGUCCAGAUAAUUUUUUAUGUUCAUUCAGUUGCUGUUAAUGAUUAAGAAAGAAAUGUUGUGUAAUGGUGAGGGAGGGUACUCAGAAAUUUCACCCCUUACAUCACAGCCCCUGCAGUUCCAGCCAGUGACGUGACAGAGAAUUAGUUGUUUCCAGCAGAGGCAGGAGCCAUGAUGUGGCUUUGUGGCAGGACCUGGCGCUUUCUCCUGGGGGACCAAUGUCACAGCCACGUCCUGCAGAAUGCAUCACUUUCGGCUGCCCUGGGACAGAGUUCUUCUGAUGUGGAGCACUGGAGGGUUUGGACUUCAGGGGCAGAGAAUGAAAUUGUACUGGAGGUACUCAAAAUGAUGUGAGUGAGUUGCUGAUCUGCACAUUGUCUCUAAACGCUGCAAUCCCUGCUGUAUAGGAACUGCUAAGUCGCACCUGAACCAGUGAUUGAGCAUCUGGUGAAGAGGCGUAGCCAGCGGUGGAAGCACAGGUGGAAGCAAUUCACCUGUGUGAUGAGAAUGGGAGGAGUCUGGAUCCAGCCCUCCCCCAGACUCAUUUAAGGGCUGGCAGCCACAGGGGAAGGGUAUCUACUUGGAGAUCACCUCCUUUGGAGUGUUUGGUCAGCCCUGUUUCUCAGAAAGGGCAUCAUGUAUCCUAGAGGGGUAUCAAAUUUAUGGCUAAGACUUUGAUGUGAAGCACUGAAGUUUAAGGAAGGAGGCUUAGCAACGCUGACUCAAAGGUAUUCUUAUUCUCUGUUUCCCCUUACUCCAAAAUUCCAUAUCUGCUGCUGAUGCACCCUGCUACGUUUAUCCUCCUGCCAGUAUGCAAGAAGGGCGAAGGUAUUUCCGAAGGACAGAGAUGAGAUGCUUCUCUCAAGGAGCAAGAUGUUGUCAGGCAGCACCACCUAACCCCCAACAGCUAACCACAAGUAGUGUCCACGGUGGGACAGGAGCUGGGCAUCUUCAAGAGGAGCUCAGGAAAAUGGAAAGGUAGGAAAUGCUUUAUAUUGUAAGAUGGGAUUACGCCGUUUCUCAGUUUACAAAGCUUAUGAAGUGUAGCUUCGCUCUAUCUUAUGUAAAGAGAAAGCAGAGAAGGGAUUUUCAUUUUUUUAUGGUUUAAAGAAAUUCUGGAAGAUAGGUGCAAAUAAAACCAGAGUUCAGACUUCAAGACUUAAAAGAAGGAAAAGAGAAAGGGAUUCUUGUGCAGGAAAAAGGAACAACCAACAGUACAAAACAAAGGUGCAUUCGAUAACUCAAGAGCUCUUGGGAAAGUCACCACUGGGAGCAAAGAAAGACAAGUCUGCUUUGACUCGAUGGUAACUGAAUUUUCCAUUUAUUGUUCAGACUUAACUGUGGUCUUAGCCUCACCCAGCUACGAGAAUAGAAAGCUCCUGCUCCUACAUGCAGAGUGCUGCAAGGAUGGAAGGAAGUGCUGUGACUUCUGUUUGUGCAGUGCUUUGUAGUUGGAGUUCAACACAAUGCAUUGCAAUACUGGACUAAAAAAUACAAAAUCAAGUAUAUAUGAAGGACACGUAGCCACCCUGGACUGGAGACUUUUUCAACUGUUGAUUCAUUUAGAAUAUGUCAUAAAGGCACAAAUACAAUGAACAAACAGUUUUUCUUCAACUCACUACUUUCUUUGCUUUUCUUACUUCAGUUGUACUUGCUUCUCACAGAUUCUUGAUUACCAAGCCCUAGCAGCAAACCACACUAACCUGCCAAAACAAGUCCAGCUUUGGGGUCAACUGUGUGCCUUCGUGAAUCAUCGCUGAAUUAGUGUUCUGUAAAUCUUAGUGUUUGGUUUCUCUUUUAUUUCUGAUGGCGAUAUAAAGCCAUUUCACCCAGUAUGUUUGUACUAGUAGAAACGCAAGAUAGCCAGGUCAUUGCAGAGUGAACUGACACAUACACACACGUGUGUGCAUACAGCUUUUCAGGGAAAGCAAAGUAGGAUGCUAUUUGUGUUUCUUGUACACAGGGAACCAAAGUUAAUUUGUAGGUUGGUGAGAGAAAGCUUGUGACACUGCACUCCAUUUCACAUCAAGAGACAUUAACUUGAAAUUACUGUUUCCAAGGGAAACACUUAUGACUCAAAGCAUUAAUUUGCAUUAGCCCACGAUAAGGCUAGCCUGUAAAUUGAGUUAUUGAAAAUAACUCGCAACCAUUGCACUAAGGAAGGAAUUAACUAGGCAUGUUUUCCUAUAAACAUGAGCUGAUAUUUUUUUCCAGGUAGUUUAAAUACUAAAAAAGUGUGCAACAUGUAAUCAAUUUAUUUUUCCAGUAAAUUCAUUAUUUAGCAAAUUGUCACAAUGGAAGCAAUCAGUCUGGAUAAAUUUGAGCUGGCUGGGUUUUAUCUCCUCACCUUUUACUUUCAUGUGAACAGCCUAUUAAAGCCCAUGGUUUGGGACAAGCUCUACAUUUUUCUCUUACAGCUGUGAGGACAAUGGUCAUUCUUUACAAAUUUAGUUCAAGGUAAUGUGAUGUUCUACCCAAUCUGGCAGAAAGAUUUAUAACUUAGCAACCGGGGCCUACAUUUCUGUGUUGUAAGCAAGUCUGGUCUCGGGCAGAUUUCACUUCUUUUGGACAUCGCAAGGAUUAUUUAGAAAAUCUCCAUGAAAUGCGCUCUUUACCCUUUGUGUGCUCCUAUGAUAACCACUCCAAGAAAGUUAACUAUUGUUCUUACUACCUGAAACCUACCCCCAGAAAAGUAUUCUGAACUGUUGCUGAUUAACAGUUGCACAGGUACCACCGCUGCUUUAAGCACAAGGUGAGCUAGUAUUCCCCCAAGUCAGUGUAGUCAGCCAGGACCCAUUUUUCAGUUCUCACUCAGGUUUCUGUCCUCACACAGCAUUAUAGCUUUGACACCAGGUGGGAAAUGCUUGCAGAGUUUCCUGGCUUUAAGAAAGGUAAGCUUUCUUCUAGGUUCUCAGAAUGGUGCCCCAGAGAGGAGCGCAGACAGCCCCCUCCCAGCAGAGGCGUUCCCCAUCCCAGCAUACCCAAUCAUGCUGAAGGCACCCAUCCGGUGCUCUCCAAAUGCCUUUCCAAUGUACUAGAACCAAAGACGCUUGCACGUCCUUACAUUAAAUAACGUGAUCCAUAAGGCAGGUGACAACGUUGCAUGUGUAGGCGUAGAGCAUCCAUACUGAAGCAGACGUGAGCCCCGGUGUCUGCCGUGCACAUGGUGCAUUGCCAUGGAGCAGAGCACUGCCUCAUGCUUCCUGGCCCUGCCCGUCACAUCCCGUAUUCUCUGCCUGCCAUGCCCGACAGGGCACCCUGCGGUGUAUCCCUCAAUUGCUUCUCAUGAGUAAGGACAUUAUUUUUGAUCCAAACUAAUAUGUAAUUAUCUAUUUCAGAAUGUUUUAUUAGGAAUUAGGAUCCUUUUUAUAUUUUAACCAAACAUAUUCAUUUCACAGCAUGUUAAAAAUCAUUUUCUCUCCCCUAACUGUGUUUAUCCUUUCUCUGUAAUAUUUCACAGCUGAAGUCCUUUUCUAAGAGAGCUUGAAAAAUAUGGUCUGGGUUUAUUUUCAUAAAUUCAGCAUAUAUGGACAAAAUGCGUCCUCUCCUUUCUUGUCCUUAGCAUUCUAAAAUGUACCUGUGUUCAAAUAUUAAGAAAUAAAACAAAUAUAAAUUAUGCAUUUUCCGAGUUAAUUUAAAAUGCAUUAUGCACUGCUUUGUUCUCUGGAAUUAGUAUUAUUAAGGGGACAGAUCUGUAUGGAUUAAUUUUGAGUCAGUUUAUUCACUUCUUUGUAAUUCAGUGGCAAGGAUUUCUGUCCCCAGGCGUCAAAUUAAAAUUUUUACUGUAAGUAACACAUACACAAUAUGGA